GACGAACGCUGGCGGCGUGCUUAACACAUGCAAGUCGAACGGAAAGGCCCUGCUUUUGUGGGGUGCUCGAGUGGCGAACGGGUGAGUAACACGUGUGUAACCUGCCCUUGACUUUGGGAUAACUUCAGGAAACUGGGGCUAAUACCGGAUAGGAGCUCUUGCUGCAUGGUGGGGGUUGGUAAGUUUCGGCGGUUGGGGAUGGACUCGCGGCUUAUCAGCUUGUUGGUGGGGUAGUGGCUUACCAAGGCUUUGACGGGUAGCCGGCCUGAGAGGGUGGCCGGCCACAUUGGGACUGAGAUACGGCCCAGACUCCUACGGGAGGCAGCAGUGGGGAAUAUUGCACAAUGGGCGGAAGCCUGAUGCAGCAACGCCGCGUGCGGGAUGACGGCCUUCGGGUUGUAAACCGCUUUCGCCUGUGACGAAGCGUGAGUGACGGUAAUGGGUAAAGAAGCACCGGCUAACUACGUG
rnacentral:rRNA from 1 species